CGAAGCUAUAUAUAAAUACCCUUCGCCUCUCUAAGCCUAAAAUCAUUCUUAAACCUCUCUCAAAUGUCUUUUCCUGCUUCUCUGCCUCUGCAUCAGCCUCAGCCUCUAGGGUUUUUUAAGUUUCAACUAAAGUAACUCUGAGACGAAAGUGCGGCGUCGUUAUACUGAUUACCGGCGCUCAUAUCAGUGGGCGUUGAGUAUGAGCCGACGCCGAUAGUUGGUCCGUCUCUGCAAAUCUACACAGGCCGCCUAAGAGCUUUCGCCUUCGCCAGGCUUGAGAGCUAAUGCUGCUUUUUUCCUUCCUUGGAUGUCUGAGGUCUUAUGUUGUUUCUUUCUUAGAGAUUCUGAUUUUUUUACUUGUUUAAUGUUAAUGUCUGAAUAUCUGUUUAGAAAAUAGAUGUUAUAUAUAUUAGAGAUGGAGGUGAUGAUUAUUUCCCCAAAUGAUCGAAGUUGAAUAAACUGAGCGAAUUUUUGUUUCUCUUUUGAGAAACCAAGCCAAAUGUUCUGAUCCAUCUCUAGUUUAUAAUUAUUUUGUUAGAAAUACAAUUUAUACAACAUUUUUUUUUGUGUGCAUCUCUUCAGAAAUUGUGUCUCUGCAAGCAUUUUACUUGUAUGGUUUUUUUUUUUAUGUAUAACUUGUUCCACUUUAGUUGAAAUCUUAUUUGUAGCUUGUGAGAUAAGAAAUCUUAAUUUUUUUUUCUAGUUCUUUUGGAAAUUAAAGAUUAAAUAAAAUUUUGAUGGAAGUGAUGAUUAUUUCCCCAAAUGAUCGAAGCUGAACAAACUGAGCGAUUUUUGUUUCUCUCUUUUGAGAAACCAAGCCAAUGUUCUGAUCCAUCUCAUUUUUUUAACUAAUUUGAUUUUUUGUUUCUCUUUUUUUUUAAAAAAAAUUGUUUUUAGUUUAUUUAUAUAAUAUAAUUAAAUCGUUUUGGCAAGCAUUAUUAAUUUUAUUCAUUUGCAUUUUUGUAAUUAAGCGUUUCGGAGGUCACAGUUGGUAGUUGCUAAAGGGUGUUGUCUCUUUGAAUUAUUGUAUUCCUUAUGUGAUUGGCUACAUUUAUGAGAUAUUCUUAAACUUCCAUGGACAUUAGAUUUGCUAGACUGCUUUUGUUUUUAUAGUUAAUAGUAAUGUAGUUUUGUUUUGUAUUUAAGUUUUUGUCAUGUUUGGGUGGGAAUGGGUUUAUUUGAAUUGUAACAUGCCAUGAAUAUUGGAUGGUGUUUCCUAAUUUAAUAUAAUGUCCGAUGAUGACAAAUCUAAGGCUUGUUUCUCAAAACAUUCGCAGGGCCGCCUAAGAGCUUUCGCCUUCGCCAGGCUUGAGAGCUAUUGCUGCUUCAUUCCUUCCUUGGAUGUCUGAGGUCUUUAUAAGACAAUUGUGCUUGUUAUUGCUGAAUAAAUUGUUCUCUUCCCAUUAGGUUGUUAUUUUUUAUAACAUUUUAGCUUUGCCUUCUCACUGCUCAGGAUCUGUCUUGCCUGAGCUUGUAGCUUGUACUUUUCAAUCCUUUCUUGUGUUGGUACUUCUCAGUCUUAUAAUUUUUUGUUCUAAUAGGUAGCUAAAUGUUGCACAACUGCUCUUUGGAUACAGUUAAUUUGUAUGUGAUUAAUUUUUUUGAGAUGAUUAAAUGGAGAUGGAUGUGAUGAUUAUUUCCCCAAAUGAUCGAAGCUGAACAAACUGAGCGAUUUCUUUCUCUCUUUUGAGAAUCCAAGCCAAAUAUCUGAUCCAUCUCUAUAUUAAUCAUCAAUCAUGGAUUAUUAGUUUCUUUUUUAAGUUUAUAUUCAUGUGACGAUUUAUGGAUUCGUGCUUUUCAUUUGCCAGUGUAUAACAUGGACAAUGGCAGGUCAAAUUUUUUAAAUUAUUGUUUUUAAUGUGCUCAGUUUUUCUUGCUUUUGCAUUCUAUUAGCUUUUCUUUUCCCUUUCUAAAAACAAUAUUUGAUUUCUUAAAAAUUUGCAGUAGCUACCUAAGAUUGGCUUCAUCCCCAUCAUACAUACUAUAUAUUGGAAAGUUUUAUGUUAGAACCAUAAAACACUGCUGUUGUUUGGUAAUAUUUUUUUACUCUAGCAUUUGCGAAGUUGUGUUAGAGAAUGUCUUUCAGUUAGGAGUUUUUGUGGUGCGGUGUAGUUUUGGGCCAUUUUUAGCACUGCACUUGGCCAAAACCGUAAUCGGUGUGGUGCGGUUUUGAGUUGCUUGUUCCGUCUCUACUUAAAAGGAAAGAUUGUGGCAGAAUAAGCAGAUUUUAUGGCGUCAUUAAAGUUGUUUCUUGUCUUUGUAAUAAUAUUUUCUUGCCGCCAUAGUCAAUUGUUUCUAGUCUCAGAGAUGUAAAUCAAUAUUAUCAAUUUUAAUUUACUGUUCAUCUGUC